rfam:Trichobilharzia regenti genome assembly, scaffold: TRE_scaffold0009765
GUACUACUAAAGAGUCCCAAACUAGGACGAAACAGUUGUCCAGUAU